rnacentral:rRNA from 1 species
AGAGUUUGAUCCUGGCUCAGAUUGAACGCUGGCGGCAUGCCUUACACAUGCAAGUCGAACGGCAGCACGGGGGCAACCCUGGUGGCGAGUGGCGAACGGGUGAGUAAUACAUCGGAACGUGUCCUGUAGUGGGGGAUAGCCCGGCGAAAGCCGGAUUAAUACCGCAUACGCUCUACGGAGGAAAGGGGGGGAUCUCAGGACCUCCCGCUACAGGGGCGGCCGAUGGCAGAUUAGCUAGUUGGUGGGGUAAAGGCCUACCAAGGCGACGAUCUGUAGCUGGUCUGAGAGGACGACCAGCCACACUGGGACUGAGACACGGCCCAGACUCCUACGGGAGGCAGCAGUGGGGAAUUUUGGACAAUGGGCGAAAGCCUGAUCCAGCAAUGCCGCGUGUGUGAAGAAGGCCUUCGGGUUGUAAAGCACUUUUGUCCGGAAAGAAAACCUCCGCCCUAAUAUGGUGGGGGGAUGACGGUACCGGAAGAAUAAGCACCGGCUAACUACGUGCCAGCAGCCGCGGUAAUACGUAGGGUGCAAGCGUUAAUCGGAAUUACUGGGCGUAAAGCGUGCGCAGGCGGUCCGUUAAGACAGAUGUGAAAUCCCCGGGCUUAACCUGGGAACUGCAUUUGUGACUGGCGGGCUAGAGUAUGGCAGAGGGGGGUAGAAUUCCACGUAGCAGUGAAAUGCGUAGAGAUGUGGAGGAAUACCGAUGGCGAAGGCAGCCCCCUGGGCCAAUACUGACGCUCAUGCACGAAAGCGUGGGGAGCAAACAGGAUUAGAUACCCUAGUAGUCC